GUUAAAACUAGAGGGACCUGGCACCCAGACCACUUAAUUGAGCUGAUGUGAUCUGGGUGUCUGUAGUGGUCCUUUAAGUGUGUGUGCAUACCGCGGUCGCGGGUCGCAGCCCUGCAACCCCUGCGACCAGGUGCCCGCCACCAUGUGUUGCAACCCCGACGGGGGGGGGACGACCCACGGAUGAAUUUUUGCACCGGCGCCCCAUGGGUC